rnacentral:rRNA from 1 species
GUAACGCGUGGGGACCUACCUCUUAGUGGGGGAUAACGGUUGGAAACGACCGCUAAUACCGCAUACGCCCUUCGGGGGAAAGAUUUAUCGCUAAGAGAUGGACCCGCGUUGGAUUAGAUAGUUGGUGAGGUAACGGCUCACCAAGUCAGCGAUCCAUAGCUGGUUUGAGAGGAUGAUCAGCCACACUGGGACUGAGACACGGCCCAGACUCCUACGGGAGGCAGCAGUGGGGAAUAUUGGACAAUGGGGGCAACCCUGAUCCAGCCAUGCCGCGUGAGUGAAGAAGGCCUUCGGGUUGUAAAGCUCUUUCAGAUGCGAAGAUGAUGACGGUAACAUCAGAAGAAGCCCCGGCUAAUUUCGUGCCAGCAGC